UCCCAGCAGACGCCAAUCAAGAAGCCUAGUGAAGCCGCAGGAGGCUCCUCACACUCUUCUCUCUCCACUUUGAUUUCUCACCUUUCCUCUUUUCCCCCAGAGCCACCAGGACCCUGUGUCUACUGAGAAACCAAGAACUCAUAGACUAUGCAUUGCCAGAGGAACAUGGUCUCCUCCAAGUGGAUGACAAUCUCUACCCAGACUCUCUUUAACACCUGGAUGGUCUCCCGACAGCUGCCAGGGGUCAGGAAGCAUGCUGGCUUUGCCUCUGAAAAUGGCAGGGGAUCCCAACCCAACCCACAGAAUCCUGGAGCUGAAAGGAACUGCCAUCUGACACCCACAUUUCUGGGUUUAUAAGCCUUUAGGGGGUGUUCCACCCACAUGCCACCGGUAUCCUCUGAAGCAUGCCUUCUGAAUGGAUGGAUUAAGGAGGUCGAAACUGUGCCAACUUUUGGAAAUUAUUAAGACAAGGAACAUGCACUUCCCCUUGAAUACCUAUGUUGGGACCACAGCCAAGAGGUGGGCGAUGUUCAACCAGGGCAUCAGGAAGGAGAGACUGAGACCUUCCCAAGAACAUGAAGAAUGAAGGCAUCACACGGCCUUGGGAAUGAAGAGGGGGAUCUGGAGUUGGUGGUGAUGUUCACGGGGAUUCACUACAGAGAAAACCAAAGUGUCAGCAAAUACCCCCAAGACAAGGCCGGACAUCAAAGGCUUACUUCAGUUACAUGGACACAGAACCUGGGUUUCAGUGGCCUCCCCAUACAUCACAGAGUCCUGCACAAAGCAGGGCCCAGCCAACCAUCCUAACGCAUGGAAAGACAGAGGGGACAUGAAAAUCACCUUAACAAAUUCUUCCAGAGUUCCCUCUGUGAGCCCUGGAUCACUGGUCAUAGCUAACACACAAUAUUAUUUAAUGUGGGGACAUCACCAAGGCUGAGCAAUGGCGCAUUAACUGUGGCCCCUCCUAGUGCACCAUCUGGAAUGUGUCUGUAAUCCUUUCUCCCUUUUCUCUGUUUACUUAUCCACUUACUGAUAUGUGUAUGGACCAAAAGAGACACAGGAAGCCGUUUAGUCUGCCAAAGGGAGAAAAGUAUGAUACAU